GACGAAGGAUGCAAGCGUUAUCCGGAUUCAUUGGGUUUAAAGGGAGCGUAGGUGGCCUGCUAAGUCAGUGGUGAAAUCUCUGGGCUUAACCCAGAAAUUGCCAUUGAUACUGGUGGGCUUGAGUGCAGUUGCUGUUGGCGGAAUAUGACAUGUAGUGGUGAAAAUACAUAGAGAUGUCAUAGAACACCGAUUGCGAAGGCAGCUAACAAAAACUGUAACUGACACUGAGGCUCGAAAAGUGUGGGGAUCAAACAGG
rnacentral:rRNA from 1 species